UAUCAGUCAUGCAUAGCAUAUCAAUAAGCGGAGGAAAAGAAACUAACAAGGAUUCCCUUAGUAACGGCGAGUGAAGCGGGAAGAGCUCAAAUUUAAAUCUUCAAGGUUUUACCUUGACGAAUUGUAGUUUAAAGAAGUGUUUUCUGUUGAAGUUUUGGUAAAAGUUCUUUGGAAUAGGACAUCAUAGAGGGUGAGAAUCCCGUAUUUGACCAUUACUUUCAGCUUUGUGAUACACUUUCAAAGAGUCGGAUUGUUUGGGAAUGCAGUCCAAAAUGGGUGGUAAAUUUCAUCUAAAGCUAAAUAUUGGCGAGAGACCGAUAGCGAACAAGUACCGUGAGGGAAAGAUGAAAAGAACUUUGAAAAGAGAGUUAAACAGUACGUGAAAUUGUCAAAAGGGAAGCGUUUGACACCAGUGUUGUUUUCUCGAAAAUCAAUUAAAAAGAGUUGGAUUUUGUGUUGUAUUGACUUUAUCAGGCUUUCUUCACUCUUUUCCAGCUUUUUUUAAUGCACUUUUCGUUUAACAAGUCAACAUCAGUUUCUUUUGUUGUAAAAAGGUCAUUGGAAGGUGGCUUUCUCUUCGGAGAAAGUGUUUAUAGCCUUUGACUCAUGCAAUCGGAGAGACUGAGGUCUGCAGCGUAGAUCCUUCGGGGUUAGAUACAUUUGUGCUAAGUUAUAGCUUUUCAUAGACAACUUGUUGACUAUGUUUAGUCUUGUAGCUUACUCGCUUAUGCUAUUUUACCUACGCUUAGGAUGUUGAACUCUAUCACACACAG
rnacentral:rRNA from 1 species